GAGUUUGAUCCUGGCUCAGAUUGAACGCUGGCGGCAUGCCUUACACAUGCAAGUCGAACGGCAGCACGGGAGCUUGGCUCCUGGUGGCGAGUGGCGAACGGGUGAGUAAUGCAUCGGAACGUAUCCUGGAGUGGGGGAUAACGUAGCGAAAGUUACGCUAAUACCGCAUAUUCUGUGAGCAGGAAAGCGGGGGACCUUCGGGCCUCGCGCUCUUGGAGCGGCCGAUGUCGGAUUAGCUAGUUGGUGAGGUAAAGGCUCACCAAGGCGACGAUCCGUAGCAGGUCUGAGAGGAUGAUCUGCCACACUGGAACUGAGACACGGUCCAGACUCCUACGGGAGGCAGCAGUGGGGAAUUUUGGACAAUGGGGGCAACCCUGAUCCAGCCAUGCCGCGUGAGUGAAGAAGGCCUCGGUUGUAAGG
rnacentral:rRNA from 1 species